rnacentral:misc_RNA from 1 species
GAUGGAAGAACGUAGCGAAAUGCGAUACUUGGUGUGAAUUGCAGAAUCCCGUGAACCAUCGAGUCUUUGAACGCAAGUUGCGCCCGAAGCCAUUAGGCCGAGGGCACGCCUGCCUGGGCGUCACACGUCGUUGCCCCCCCAUCUACUCCUUCGGGAUUGCGGGGGGCGGAUGAUGGCCUCCCGUGCGCCUCGCCGCGCGGUUGGCAUAAAUGCCAAGUCCUCGGCGACGCACGCCACGACAAUCGGUGGUUGCGAAACCUCGGUUGCCCGUCGUGUGCGGUCGUCGCGCAUCGAGGGCUCGAAAAAAUUGCCGGGUUCCGGCUCGGCUUUCAACGCGACCCCAGGUCAGGCGGGGUUACCCGCUGAAUUUAAGCAUAUCAAUAAGCGGAGGA